UACGAAGGGGGCUAGCGUUGCUCGGAAUCACUGGGCGUAAAGCGCACGUAGGCGGAUCGUUAAGUCAGGGGUGAAUCCUGGAGCUCAACUCCAGAACUGCCUUUGAUACUGGCGACCUUGAGUUCGGGAGAGGUGAGUGGAACUGCGAGUGUAGAGGUGAAAUUCGUAGAUAUUCGGAGGAACACCAGUGGCGAAGGCGGCUCACUGGUCCAUUACUGACGCUGAGGUGCGAAAGCGUGGGGAGCAAACAGG
rnacentral:rRNA from 1 species